rnacentral:tRNA from 1 species
GUUUUUGGUGUAUGGCACGUUAGAUUUUGAAUUUAAAGGAAAUAACCCAAUUUAUUAAAAC